UGGGGAAUCUUGCACAAUGCGCGAAAGCGUGAUGCAGCAACGCCGCGUGAGGGAAGACGGCCUUCGGGUUGUAAACCUCUUUCAGUUGGGACGAAGCCUUUGCGGUUAAUAGCCGUUGGGGGUGACGGUACCUUCAGAAGAAGCCCCGGCUAACUACGUGCCAGCAGCCGCGGUAAUACGUAGGGGGCAAGCGUUGUCCGGAAUCAUUGGGCGUAAAGCGCGUGUAGGCGGCUGAGUAAGUCUGCUCUGAAAGCCCGGGGCUCAACCCCGGGAGGCGGGUGGAUACUGCUCAGCUCGAGUCCGGAAGAGGAGUGUGGAAUUCCUGGUGUAGCGGUGAAAUGCGCAGAUAUCAGGAGGAACACCAAUGGCGAAGGCAGCACUCUGGGACGGUACUGACGCUGAGACGCGAAAGCGUGGGGAGCAAACA
rnacentral:rRNA from 1 species